CCUACGGGAGGCAGCAGUGAGGAAUAUUGGUCAAUGGACGAGAGUCUGAACCAGCCAAGUAGCGUGAGGGAUGACUGCCCUGUGUAUUGUAAACCUCUUUUAUAAAGGAAUAAAACGAGGCACGUGUGCCUUGUUGCAUGUACUUUAUGAAUAAGCAUCGGCUAACUCCGUGCCAGCAGCCGCGGUAAUACGGAGGAUCCGAGCGUUAUCCGGAUUUAUUGGGUUUAAAGGGAGCGAAGAUGGGGUGUUAAGUCAGUGGUGAAAGUUUGCGGCUCAACCGUAAAAUUGCAAUUGAUACUGGCAGUCGUGAGUACAGUUGAGGUAGGCGGAAUUCGUGGUGUAGCGGUGAAAU
rnacentral:rRNA from 1 species